GCGGUCCCACCCACUGCGCCCAGAACGGAGCCCGCGUUUCCGCAGAGCUGGAGCUCCCGGCUCGGGGUCUCUUCCCUCCGCCUUCACGGAACUGCCCCGGAGCCCGCGGCGAGGGCGGCCUCACUGACGCUGCCGGCUCUGGAGGGGCCCCGGAGGCCGAAGCCGCGACAGUCGUGCGGACGGCGGGCCGGUUGUUUCAACAAGUAACUUAAAGACCAAAUGGAAAAAAAGGAGGUUUGUGCCUGAGAUCAUGUUGAUGUGAAACCAGGGAUGGCCACCUUGUCCCAGGUACAAAACAAAGAAUCGCUUUGCACAAAGCCAGAAGGGAUACACUGAAAGAAUGAUCAGAAAAGAAUAAUACACAGGUACAAAACAAAGAAUCGCUUUGCACAAAGCCAGAAGGGAUACACUGAAAGAAUGAUCAGAAAAGAAUAAUACAUAGCAGGCCACCGCUAGGCCUCUCACCUGAAAAGUCCAGAAUCGGGAAGACACAGGCUGUAUCAGUUGCCCUGCGGCCUUAUUCACAAUAGCCAAGAUGGUGAAGCAACCCAAAUGUCCAUCAACAGGUGAAUGGAUAAAGAAGAAGAGGUCCAUGUACACAAUGGAAUAUUCACCAUGGAGAACAAUGAAUUACUGCUCUUUGAGGCACCACAGAUGAGCCUAGAGAUAAUCAUGGAACAUGAGCAGGCCCACUGCUGAGCCUCUCACCUGAGAAGUCCAGAGUCGAGAAGGCACAGGCUUCAACAGCUGCACUACAGGAAUUUUCACAAUAACCAAGACAUGGAAGUAACCAAAAUGUCCAUCACCAGAUGAGUGGAAAAAGAAGGAGUGGUCCAUGUACAAAAUGGAAUAUUCGCCAUGGAAAACAAUGAAACACUGCUCUUUGAGGCACCAUAGUUGAUCCUGGAGAUAAUCACAGAACAUGAGGAAUGGAAAAAAGCUGAACAUCAGGAAUUAAUAAAGCCAUGCAAAUCCAGUGUACAAAAACUUUCACCUCACAGCCUUCAGGAUGAUCAUCAGCAAAAAAAAAGUCUACAAAGAAUAAAUGCUGAAGGGGUUUUAGAGAACUGUGUACCCUUUAGCUGCUGGUGGGAUGUAACCUGGUAACAGCCAGUAGUGAGAACAGAAUGGAGGUGCGUUUAAGGGUAAAAAUGGAGCUACCAUGUGAUCUGGUAGGCCCACUAAUGGGCCUAUCACAUGAGUAGACCAGAAUCAAAAAGACACAGGCUGGCAAUCCUGCACUGCAGCAACAUGUACCAUAGCCAAGACCUGGAAGAAACCAAAAUGUCCAUCAACAGAAAAAUGCACCAAGAAGAAGUCGUCCAUGUACACAAUGGAAUAUUAGCCAUGAAAAAGCAUGGAACAGUGCCGUUGGCACCACCACAGAAGGAUCUACAGACAAUCACCCAACUUGAAGUAAGAAAGAAACCGAAAGACAGACAUCCUAUGACAUCACUUACAGGUGUUACCUAAAAAUUGAUACCCAUGAAAUAAUUUCCAAGAGAAGGACACACAUAGAUUCAGAAAACCAAAUGGAAAGGUGUAAGGAAUGUAUGAAUUAGGAUAUGGGGGUUAACAGACAUGUACUAAUACAUAUGAAAUAUAUAAUCACACAAUACCUAUGGAAUACAAAGAGAGGUCUACUCAACACUCUAUAAUAUACACGGGAAAGGAUCCAAAGAGGAAUAGACAGAUACAUUGAUAGGAUGAAUCAGAAACUGUACACCUAGGAGAAUCUACAUUUUUAUCAAAUUUGCUCUGAUAAUUAAUAAAAAUUAAAUUUAAAAAGCAAACAAUUUAGGAUAUAUAUGCUCUUGGGGCUUUGCGCUGGCACAUUCCACUCUAAUUUGCUGCGUACUAACACAAUUUCCAGGAAAGCUCUGUUGCCCAAAAACCCAGAGUUGGAAAUGUAGAAAUGCUGCCGCCUUGUGGCCGUUUCCCACAAGAGCGGCUUUAAACCCACAGCUAAUGGUCACUUAACAUUAGAAGGACUCACGGCUGUAAAGGACACCUGCCCUAAACAACUGUGCGGAGGUAGGGAAUGGCCAAAAAAAUUCAAAACUGCAAAUUUUUCAAGAAAAUAAUAUGAAGAGGUAAAUUUGGCUCACUCUCUUUUAAAAAAAGGAAAAUGGGUAAAAAGCUCAACCUUGGUAAUUAUUAGACUCGUGCAAAUCUACUCUACAAAAAGGUUUCAACUCACACCAGUCAACUGGCCAUCAGCAAAAAGACUACAAACAAUAAAUAUUGAAGGGGUUUUAGAGAACACUGUACCCUCUAGCUUCUGGUGAGAUGUAAAGUGGUAACAGCCAAUAAUGAGAACAGAAGGGAGCUAUAAUUAAAAUAAAAAUUGAGGUACCAUUCAAUCCAGCAGUCACACCACUGGGCCUCUCACCUGAGACCUGAAUCGAGAAGACCCGGGCUGCAAAAUCUGCACUGCAGCCUUAUUCACAAUAGCCAAGACAGUGAAGCAACCAAAAGGUCCAUCAACAGAUGAACAGAUAAAGAAGAAGUGGUCUAUUUAUACAACAGAAUAUUAGCCAUGGAAAACAAUGAAACACUGCUAUUUGAGGCACCAUAGAUGAGCUUGGAGAUAAUCACAGAACAUGAGGUAAGUCAGAAAGCAAAAACCUAUAUCCUAUGGUAUCACUUAGAGGUGUUAACUAAUAACUAACACAAAUGAACAUAUUUCCACAGAGAAAGACACUCACAGACUUAGAAGUAUGCUUAUCUAAAAGGAUAGGUGGGGUGAAUGGAAAAAUUAAGAUUAGGGUUACCAUACGUGUACAAAUACCUAUUAAAUACAUAUAUCAAAAGACCGACCAUAUAGCAAGUGAGGUCUAUGGAACUGUGGAGACGUCCCAAUCACCUGACUGCCCUCCGACCUGCCGUGAAUUGGAGACUGAGACCAGGCACGCCUCUCUCCUCCAUUCACUCAGGGACAGACUGGGGGUCAUGGGAACCUCAGAAUCGAAACCAGAUUCUAAGACACCCCUGGGGUGUCUCCUAGCCAAUUUUACAGCCCUCGGUUUCUCCCAAGUUCUCCGUUGCCGACGGCUUAUUUUCUAUUCCACUGUGGCCAGGCCACAAUAUCCUCUAGACAAUCAAUCCAAAUGGCCUCCUGAAGGGACUUUCAAUUUUAACAUCCUCCGUGAUCUAGAUAAUUACUGCUGCAGGAUGGGCAAAUGAUCCGAGGUCCCCUAUGUUCAGGCCUUCUGGUAUUUACGCUCCCGCCCCUCCCUCUACGUCGAUUGUUCCACUUCCCAGAUCUUUCUUGCCAAACAGACAUCUCCUACAUCCAAGCCCCUAAUUUCCUUUGAUGAGGACUCCUCUCCACUAGGCGACCCACCCGAAUCUCUCGCCUCUCCCCCUUCCAGAGCUCCUCUCCAGCCUCCACCCAACCCUGAAGCGGUCCCUCCUCAUCCCGCAGCCGCCCCGGCCCAUCCAACCGCUCCCCCGCCUCCCUCAACGGUUUCUCCUCCCUCGCCCCUUGCUUUGCCAGUUAGUGCACAUACACUCUCUCAUGACUCCCAAGAUCCAAAUCUCCUCUGCCCUCUGAGGGAGGUAGAAGGAGCGGAAGGAUUAGAGUUCAUGUUCCCUUUUCCCUCCAAGUUCUCUCUCAAAUAGAAACGUGAUUAGGCUCCUUUUCGGCGGACUCUUCCCGCUACAUCAAAUAAUUUCGCUACCUCUCUCAAGCUUAUGAUCUAACCUGGUAUGAUAUCUCUGUGAUCCUAUCUUCUACUCUGACCCCUGAUGAGAGGGAAAGAAUUCAAACUGCUGCCCAAAACCAUGCAGAUCAGGUUCACCUUACCGACAACUCCAUGCCUGUCGGAGUGACUGCUGUACCUGGUACCAAUCCAGGCUGGACUUAUCAGGAUGGCCAAGAUGGCCGUCAUAAACACGACCUCAUGAUCCAGUGCCUCCUGGCUGGCAUGCAGGCUGCUGCUCAUAAGGUAGUCCGUUUUGAAAAACUAAAAGAGAUAAUCCAAGAACCUAACGAAAAUCCAGCUAUCUUUCUCAAUCGCCUUACAGCGGCCUUAACUUUCUACACCCAACUGGAUCCCGACACCCUGGCAGGGGCAGCGGUCCUAGCCACCCAUUUUAUCACCCAAUCAGCCCCGGACAUCCGAAAGAAAUUAAAACGGGCAGAAGACGGCCCUCAAACCCCUAUUCGAGAUCUGGUAAAGAUGGCCUUUAAAGUCUACAAUGGCCGUGAGGAUUUAGCAGGAUCCAGCUGACAGGCUCGGAUGCACCAGAAGGUGGCCCUCCAAACCCAACCUCUUGUAGCCGCCCUAAGGCCGGCCAUCUCCCAUGUAUCACAGCAUCCAUGGGGUCCGCAAAAGGCAACCCCGCCGGGGGCCUGCUUCAAAUGCAGAAAAGAAGGCCACUGGGCUCGCCAAUGUCCCAAUCCCCAACCUCCUUCUAAGCCCUGUCCCAGCUGCGGGUUAACGGGCCACUGGAAGAGUGACUGCCCUACGACUGGCCCUCCCUCAGCGUCUCCACGUGGGGGGGCGGGCCGACCCAAUGGCAUUACCACUCGAACUGCUGGGAUUGGCUGACGACUGAUGGCACCCGGACUCGAAGACCCCCAUCACCCUCACCGAGCCCAGGGUAACGCUACAGGUAGCGGAUAAGUCCAUUUCAUUUCUGGUGGACACGGGGGCUGCUUCUUCGGUCCUGCCUACUUAUUCUGAGCCAGUUUCUCCUUCCCAGAUCUCGGUCAUGGGUAUUGAUGGCAAACCAUCCUUCCCACUCCAGACCGGUCGACUCCCAUGUCAUAACAAAGGACUCCCUUUUACUCAUUCCUUCUUAGUCAUACCAUCCUGCCCAGUUCCCUUGCUAGGCCGAGAUGCCCUUUUCCACUUAGGGGCCUCCCUCCAGCUGGAUAGACUCAACCCUAAGGUCCCCUCCUCCCAACUCCUGCUUCCUCUUCUCGGCCUGUCUCUAGAACCCUCCCCCUCCUAUCCCCCUCUUCCAAUCACACCGAACCCAAUCAAUCCCCAUGUCUGGGAUGCUUCUAAGCCCAUAAUAGCAACACACCAUUCCCCUGUCCUCAUCGGCCUAAAGGACCCCUCCAAAUUUCCAUCAAGGCCCCAGUUUCCCAUCUCUGAGACUCACCUUAGGGGCCUACAACCUAUUAUCACCAGACUCCUAAACCAGGGACUCCUUAUCCCCACUGACUCUCCCUGAAACACCCCCAUCCUGCCUGUCCGCAAGGCCUCUGGGGAUUAUCGCCUGGUCCAGGACCUCCUACUAAUCAAUGAAGCCAUAAUCCCUCUCCACCCAGUAGUACCAAACCCAUACACCUUGCUCUCCCAUAUCCCCCCAUCCACAACCCACAUUAUGGUUCUGGAUCUCAAAGAUGCCUUUUUCACUAUCCCUCUACAUCCCGACUCCUAUUUCCUCUUCACCUUUACCUGGACGGAUCCGGAUACUCAUACUUCCGGUCAGCUCACCUGGACAGUUCUUCCCCAGGGCUUCCGCGACACUCCUCACCUCUUCGGUCAGGCGCUGGCACAGGACCUCACUUCCUGCUCCGGUACCCCCAGCACACUCCUUCAAUAUGUAGAUGACCUCCUCCUUUGUAGCCUAUCUCAGCCUCUCAAGAGAACAUACUGCAGAUCUCCUCAAUCACCUUGGCUCUCGCGGUUAUCGGGUCUCCCCAGCCAAAGCUCAGUUAUCUGUAUCUUCUGUAACCUACCUGGGGCUCCAUCUUACCCCUACCACAAAAGAUCUAACAGCCGAUCGCACCCGGAUUAUCCGUGAACUCCAGCCUCCGGAAACAGCGGAACAAAUUCUCUCUUUUUGGGGCCUUAUAGGAUUUUUCCUACACUGGAUCCCUAACUUUGCUCUCCUCGCUAAACCCUUAUAUCUAGCCGCUAAGGAAACCCCUCAAGGACCCCUCACCUCUCCUUCCGCCGUUCAACAGGCCUUUCUCACCCUCCGUAACGCUCUGAUAUCUUCUCCUCCCCUUUCUCUGCCCAACCCAAACCGACCUUUUCACCUUUUUGUGGAUGAACGGGCCGGAAUAGCCACUGGACUCCUUGCCCAGCCUGUAGGGCCUUCCUACCGCCCCGUGGCUUACCUCUCCAAACAGCUACACCCAACCAUUCGGGGAUGGCAACCAUGCCUUCGGGCCCUAGCAGCAGCAGCCGAACUGACCAAACAAACACUACAGAUACUCAACCACACAGGAAUAGGUAACAUCUCCGACUGCUUUCUAUGUGCCUCACUUGGCCGGCCGCCCUUGGCUGCUGUCCCACUCGACCAGCCCUUCAAUUCUACUUCCUACACAUCCCAAAACCCACCUUCUUCCCCGUUAAAAGUCCCCAUAUUCCUUGAUUCAAAAAUAUCUCACCAUCUGUUACAGCAGCCGCCCAAAUCUACCUGAUACUGGGUUUCUUUGCAACACAUCCCUCACGGUAAACACAUCAAUUGAAGCACCACCAGGCAUGUUUUUGUGGUGCAAUGGUUCCCUCACAAGAGAUCAAUUCUUCCUCCCCCUUCCCAUGUAUCUCUGUUACUCUCGUCCCACAACUCACACUGUAUAGCCAAGAUGAAUUUUCCUCGCUAAUCACGCCGCCCUUUACCCGACAAAAAAGAGCUAUCUUUCUUCCUCUGGUCUCAGGCAUCUCUCUCGCCUCCUCCCUGGUCGCUGCAGGCAUCGGGGGGGCGGGGGGGAGCUCUAACACAUAGUGUUUCAACAUUCCGCGACUUAGAACAUAAGCUCCAGCUAGCCAUUGAAGGCUCCGCCGCCUCCAUCUCCUCUCUCCAGUGCCAAAUCACCUCCAUAGCCCGAGUCGCUCUCCAGAAUCGACGAGCCCUGGACCUCCUGACGGCCGACAAAGGAGGUACCUGCCUCUUCCUACAGGAGGAAUGCUGCUGUAAACGCCCUCCAUCGCUUAAGAGAACUCCAACGCAAACACCAACAGUCCACCUCCCCUAUUCCCGAUUGGGGGCGAUCCACCCUCUAUACCUGGCUAACACCAAUCUGAGGCCCCUUAAUUCUCAUCUGUAUCUUGCUCAUGUUUGCCCCCCGUUUUCUUAGGUUCCUUCGCCGGCGCAUGGAGGAAGUCUCUCGGGUGGCCACAAACCAAAUGUUCCUCAGUCCUUACACCUUGCUUCCUACAGAAACCCCCACUGGUCUCCCCUAAGCCUCGGACCUCUGGUCGCCCGACUCCCCUUUCGACGCCCGCAUUCAGCAUGAAGUAGCCAGAGAUCGGAACGCCGCCCCAUUACACCAAAGAUGUCGGGAUGUAAGGCCAACUGGCCCGAGGCAGGGGAACGCAAUCAGAUUCACAGGUUGCAUCAGACCGAAACUCUCCGGACCACCCAGUUCCAGAAACUGACCUGGAGACAUUCCGGACCACCCACCCAGUUCCAGGAACUGACCUGGGGGAUUUCCACCCGGCCCAGCCUUCCCGCCUUUCGAGGGAUGGGACUAGCGGUCCCAAGACUGAUGUAACCGGCACCAGAUAGUGCCACGACACCCGAAGAGACCACCAGAUAAGGAAUUCCCUGCGCCCUCCCAGAUUCACCACACCCCUUUCCCUUCUUCCCCUAUAAAAUCUUGCCCAGCCCUCGCCUGGGGGCGACUUCUCUGGUCCCUUUCUCUCGGACCAGUGAACCUCGCCCGGGAGCGCCCCCUAAUAAAGCUCACUUGAAGCGUU